rnacentral:other from 1 species
CGCCGCUUCGGCCCGUGAGUCGGGCCAGGCCCUGACCAGCAGCCCGAGGGGAGGCUCUUCUGAGCCCAGCCUGGAUCCCUGCGAUUGCUGCCCGCUCCUCCUGCCUCUGGUCUCACGAGGGGUUUCCCGCCUUGCACCUCUGGACCAGCCUUUCCUUCUCUCCCCGCGUGCGGAGGGAGCCAGCGCUUAGGCCGGAGCGAGCCUGGGGGCCGCCGGCC